rnacentral:rRNA from 1 species
ACGGGGGGGGGCAAGCGUUGUUCGGAAUUACUGGGCGUAAAGGGCUCGUAGGUGGCCAACUAAGUCAGACGUGAAAUCCCCCGGCUUAACCUGGGAACUGCGUCUGAUACUGCUCGGCUAGAGGAUGGGAGAGGAGCGCGGAAUUCCCGGUGUAGCGGUGAAAUGCGUAGAGAUCGGGAGGAAGGCCGGUGGCGAAGGCGGCGCUCUGGAACAUUUCUGACGCUGAGGCUCGAAAGCGUGGGGAGCAAACAGGA